rnacentral:ncRNA from 2 species
UUUGCAAAGAGCAAACAGCUGACCCGGCGAGAAAUGGAAAUAGAAAAGUCUUUAUUUCAGGGAGCUGAUCGUCACUCCUUCCUUAAGGCUCUUUAUUACCAAGAUGAACCCCAAAAGAAGAACAAAGGUGAUCCCAUGAACAACCUGGAAAGUUUUUACCAAGAGAUGAUAAUGAAAAAACGUCUUGAAGAGUUUCAACUUAUGAGAGUGUUGGACUGGGCCUAAGAAGCUGACGCAGCCAAUAGAAUUUGUCCCAGAAGAUGAAAUCCAGAGAAAUCGUUUGUCAGAGGAAGAGAUCCGAAAAAUUCCUAUGUUUUCUUCAUAUAAUCCAGGGGAACCAAACAAG